ACCCAUGAAUUUUGAUUUCAGUAUUUUCUUGUUGUUUUUCUUGGGGUUGUUUACGUUACUAAAUUACUUUGCUGAUUAUGUUUUUUGGGUUCUGUUUCGUUUUGAUCGAAGUGUAGUACAUUGCAAGCCCUGCAGAAGAAUUGUCAUACUGCCAUGAGAAGCAUAUCAUUCAUAGAGAUGUCAAGCCAGAUAAUUCGUUGCUUGAUCAUGAGGACCAAUUAGAUCUUUUGACAUAGUUUCAACAUUUCAGCUCUCAGUUAGACUCGAUAGUAUUCUAUCCAGAAGAGGAUGAUUUGGUGUCUUCUCGGUUAGAACUCAUAAUGCUCACUGCAAACUUUCCCUCGGAAGAUUUGGUCGAGUGAUUUGGCCCAUAAGGUUGGUUUAUUCUUGUGGCACUGUGUGUUAGAUAGACUCCCAACACUGGAGUGUAGGAAUUCAGCUUUAGUAACUACCAGUGGUAGCCAAAUUCUCAACAUUUGCUGCCUUCGUAAGCCCAUUUCUUUCUGAGUGCACCUUAGCCCAACAAAUCUGGUGCCUUUUCUGCUUGGAAGCCAACAGGAAAAUCAACCUUACGGUCACCACUAUGGAGCUUACCAAGAACUGGUCAACCUCUUGUUUUUCGGCUCGUGGUAAGGAAGUGAGAAGCCAUUUCGCUGCUGCUAUUUCGUGGGUCCCAUGGGAGUGUAAUGCUAUGACCUUCAAUAACAAGGAGAGAAAGGCGGAUGAUGAGGUUGAGUUGAAAGUUUUUCAAUGGGCAAGACAUUCUUCGUGUAUGUCUGAUACCUUGUCUGUGAUGUAAUUGCUAGGUGGAAAGAAUUGUUCUUUGACCCUCCUUGGUUUGGUAUCUUCUUAUUCCUUUGGCUGGGGUCUUUGCUUUCGUUUAGCCUGGUCGGGGUCUGUAUUUUCUCGUGUUUGCUCUUUGUGUUUGGAGCAUCGACUGAAACUUGCCAACUUUGGAUGGUCUGUGCAGCCAAAAGAUUAGAGCCUACAAUGUCUGUGACCAAGAGAGGUUUCUUUCAAGAUCGAGGAUAAUGCAGGGGGGAUUUUGUAACAUUGAUUAGGGAGUAUCAGGGUGAGGAGGUCAAAUUCCCAGUUCACAUGCCUAAUCUCUCUAGUGAUUAUGCUGAAGAGGAGGAAGAUCAAGACGACCAAGAAGCAGACCAAGACGAGGAGAAGGAAGAAAAUAGUGGUUCGCAGUAUGUUGAUUUGGUUGUGAGUGUUGCAAAACACAGACCAACUUUGGAAUUUGAUGUUAUGGGUGAUGCAGAUGGAAUUACUAUCAGCAAUUUGGCUGUCAAAACACCACACAACAACCAUCUUUUUUUGGUGCGGUAUUUGAUAUUGUUACUCCUUGUUUGACUAUGGAGGUUUCCCAUGAGUGUCAUGAUGUAAGCUGCAUCCAAAAUCUGUUUUAUUUAUGAAAAAAGGUUUAUUUUAGAUAAUUAAAACCGUAAUAAUACAAAAAAAUAGGAUUCAUGGACAU